AAUGGGGGAAAACAGCUAUCGAACCAAACCAAUCAACCUCGGCGGCUAAAACCCUAGCUCUCUCCCGCCGCCGGCGAGAGUCCGCAGCCAUGGAGCACCUCCGGUGGCGCACCUCGGUGAACGAGCGCGAAUUCAUUGAGACCGCCCUCCAGUCCGACCUCCGCGUCGACGGCCGCCACUCCUUCGACUUCCGCAAACUCAGGAUUAGCUUCGGCAGGGAGGAUGGCUCGUCGGAGGUGCAGCUCGGGGAGACGCACGUGCUGGGCUAUGUGACCGCGCAGCUAGUCCAGCCCUACAGGGACAGGCCGAAUGAGGGGACUCUGGCCAUAUUCACCGAGUUCUCGCCCAUGGCCGACCCAGCCUUUGAGCCUGGGCGUCCAGGGGAAUCAGCAAUUGAGCUUGGCCGAGUCAUUGACCGUGGCCUCAGGGAGAGCCGGGCUGUGGACAUGGAGUCCCUGUGUGUUGUUGCUGGGAAGCAUGUCUGGUCCGUGCGUGUUGACCUUCACAUCUUGGACAACGGAGGGAAUCUCAUUGAUGCAGCUAACAUUGCUGCAUUGGCCGCUUUGUCUACUUUCCGGAGGCCGGAAUGCACAGUUGGUGGGGAUGAUGGUCAACAAGUUAUAGUGCAUGAUCCUGAGGUCAGGGAUCCACUCCCUCUUACAAUUCAUCAUAUGCCCAUUGCUGUAACCUUUGCAUAUUUUGGUGAAGGUAACAUUGUGGUUGUUGAUCCCACAUACAAGGAAGAAGCAGUAAUGGGAGGGAGGAUGACUGCUACGAUUAACUCAAAUGGUGAUAUUUGUGCCAUCCAGAAAGCUGGUGGGGAGGGUGUCAUGUCAAGUGUUGUCAUGCAGUGUUUAAGAAUUGCUUCUGUUAAGGCUGCUGAUAUAACAAGCAAAAUAAAGAAAGCAGUAAGUGGGCCCUCAAAGAUUAGCCAAGGUGUCCAUGUUUUGAUACGUUCUAAAAUGAACAAGUUAAAAUCAAAUCAUGCAAAUGAUGGAUAUUGCAUUAUAGUGAAAUUCUAUGGUACUUUACUUUUGUAUUAAAAAUUCCGUCUCUACCUACAUAGAGAUUAAGUUGCAUAUUUACUUAGUUGAAAAAAUGUUCACUUGCACUACAUUACCAUUUGCAGCAGACUACAUUCCCCAUUGUACUCAACAGAAAUAGGUUCACUUAUAGUAGCAAUCUUUCCACUAGAAACAUGGAAAAUUUAGGUAAGUGCUAGGUGAGGUGGUACUGGUGGGCUCACAUGUUGUGUGAGAGGACAGCGAGCACAAAUGGGUGGGAGGUAGCGCUAGGUGAGGUGGUACUGGUGGGCCCACAUGUUGCAGCUGAUUAUUUUGUGAGAGGGAAGAGGGUUUUGAGGUAGACUCAUACACCACUGAGAAAGCUUUAAAGAAAGUAAAGCGUUUACCAGCCACGUUGCCUCAGAAAAUUAAUGUAACUGAUGUAACUAUGGAGGACAAAGUUGAUGAUGAAUUGGAGACUCAAACUGUGAAGACACCCAGUGAUGUUCAGGAGAUAAGCAAAGGUGAUGAGGACCAUCGAAAUAUAAAAGGGAAUCCACUCUUGACUGGGGACAGAAUUGCUAAACACAAACAAACAUCAACAUUCAGUGGUGGUCCAUCAAAUUGGUAGCAAUUAGCCUGAUGUUUUGUUUCCCAAGUUCAAGCAUCAAAUAUUUGCUUGACACAAGUUUUGCCAACUGGUCCUGAUUUUUGCCAUGUAGGGACCCAUAUUCUAAAGGAGUUUCAUUAAGCUCCCUCAGAAUUUCACAGUUGCCGGAUCCAGCAACUACAGGUAAGGCCAGAAGCCAUGAGGAUGCACAACCAAUGUUAACUGAAUCAUCUAAUGCUGAGGUGAAAAUCACAUCAAGCUCUGGGGCUGUUGGAGAGUCUGAAGAGGCCCAGGAAAUUGGGUCGCCAAAGAGCCUAAAAGAUGCUAUUAAACCAAAACACAAAAGAAAGAAGAACAAAAAGUGACAGGAGUUAGAUUAAUUGCAAGCCUGCAAUUUCAUGCCUUAGGUGAGUGGUCAUUUGCGCUACUGCCAUGUAUGUUGUGUGAGCGUUCCUACUAUAACUAAUACAACUAUUCAAAUUCACAGGAGUGGCAUACAUGGGUUAUCUAUUCUGUGUUUUUAGUUGUUACUGAUGCAGGUGACUAUAGGCAAAUUUUGUACAAGCUGUACAAUUGUAUUCUAGGAAUGGUCAAGUUUUCAGGCAACUUUGCAACUAUCCUUGUGAUGCAUUAUGUCCCUGCCCAUCUUUGUUCCA